rnacentral:rRNA from 1 species
AGCGAACGCUGGCGGCAGGCCUAACACAUGCAAGUCGAACGAACUCUUCGGAGUUAGUGGCGGACGGGUGAGUAACACGUGGGAACGUGCCUUUAGGUUCGGAAUAACUCAGGGAAACUUGUGCUAAUACCGAAUGUGCCCUUCGGGGGUAAGAUUUAUCGCCUUUAGAGCGGCCCGCGUCUGAUUAGCUAGUUGGUGAGGUAAAGGCUCACCAAGGCGACGAUCAUUAGCUGGUCUGAGAGGAUGAUCAGCCACAUUGGGACUGAGACACGGCCCAAACUCCUACGGGAGGCAGCAGUGGGGAAUCUUGCGCAAGGGGCGAAAGCCUGACGCAGCCAUGCCGCGUGAAUGAUGAAGGUCUUAGGAUUGUAAAAUUCUUUCACCGGGGACGAUAAUGACGGUACCCGGAGAAGAAGCCCCGGCUAACUUCGUG